UACGGAGGGUGCAAGCGUUGUCCGGAUUUAUUGGGUUUAAAGGGUGCGUAGGUGGCCUAUUAAGUCAGUGGUGAAAUCCUGCAGCUUAACUGUAGAACAGCCAUUGAUACUGAUGGGCUUGAGUUCAGACGAGGUAGGCGGAAUUUAUGGUGUAGCGGUGAAAUGCAUAGAUACCAUAAAGAACACCGAUUGCGAAGGCAGCUUACUAGACUGAAACUGACGCUGAGGCACGAAAGCGUGGGUAGCAAACAGG
rnacentral:rRNA from 1 species